GAUAAACGCUGGCGGCGUGCUUAACACAUGCAAGUCGAACGAAGUUUUUCCUUCGGGAGAAACUUAGUGGCGGACGGGUGAGUAACGCGUGGGUAACCUGCCCUGUACAGUGGGACAACAGCUGGAAACGGCUGCUAAUACCGCAUAAGCCCUUAGCACUGCAUGGUGCAUAGGGAAAAGGAGCAAUCCGGUACAGGAUGGACCCGCGUCUGAUUAGCCAGUUGGCAGGGUAACGGCCUACCAAAGCGACGAUCAGUAGCCGAUCUGAGAGGAUGUACGGCCACAUUGGGACUGAGACACGGCCCAGACUCCUACGGGAGGCAGCAGUGGGGAAUAUUGCACAAUGGAGGAAACUCUGAUGCAGCGACGCCGCGUGAGUGAAGAAGUAUUUCGGUAUGUAAAGCUCUAUCAGCAGGGAAGAAAAUGACGGUACCUGACUAAGAAGCACCGGCUAAAUACGUG
rnacentral:rRNA from 1 species